rnacentral:rRNA from 1 species
GCGUGAGUGAAGAAGGCCUUCGGGUUGUAAAGCUCUUUCAAUGGUGAAGAUAAUGACGGUAUCCAUAGAAGAAGCCCCGGCUAAAUUCGUGCCAGCAGCCGCGGUAAUACGAAUGGGGCAAGCGUUGUUCGGAAUCACUGGGCUUAAAGCGUGCGUAGGCGGACAGGAAAGUCAGAAGUGAAAGCCCCGGGCUCAACCCGGGAAUUGCUUUUGAAACUCCCUGUCUAGAGACCUGGAGGGGCUAAUGGAAUUCCGAGUGUAGAGGUGAAAUUCGC